UCAUUUAUUAGCUGCUAAAUCAAUUGCAAGAAGAAGGGCUGAAUUGACGGAAGAGACGGGAAAAGAAGUUAGUAGGGUUCAAAUGUGGGACAUAACUCACAAGAAAACAGAUGGAAGUUAUGUUAAUGAAAAAGCUAAAGAAAUAGCGGAGAAGAUUGAAGCACAUAGCAGCCAACAACCGAUGGAAUUAACUCUUAAUUCUCCUCUUGAUGCUCUUGGAGUAGUUUUUGGAAUUG